AACGAACGCUGGCGGCAUGCCUAACACAUGCAAGUCGAACGAGAUCUUCGGGUCUAGUGGCGCACGGGUGCGUAACGCGUGGGAAUCUGCCCUUUGGUUCGGAAUAACAGUUGGAAACGACUGCUAAUACCGGAUGAUGACGAAAGUCCAAAGAUUUAUCGCCAGAGGAUGAGCCCGCGUAGGAUUAGCUAGUUGGUGGUAAAGGCGCACCAAGGCGACGAUACUUAGCUGGUCUGAGAGGAUGAUCAGCCACACUGGGACUGAGACACGGCCCAGACUCCUACGGGAGGCAGCAGUGGGGAAUAUUGGACAAUGGGCGAAAGCCUGAUCCAGCAAUGCCGCGUGAGUGAUGAAGGCCUUAGGGUUGUAAAGCUCUUUUACCCGGGAUGAUAAUGACAGUACCGGGAGAAUAAGCUCCGGCUAACUCCGUGCCAGCCGCCGCGGUAACAC
rnacentral:rRNA from 1 species